rnacentral:rRNA from 1 species
GCCCAAGAGAUCGGGAUAACACCUGGAAACAGAUGCUAAUACCGGAUAACAACAGAUGAUGCCUAUCAACUGUUUAAAAGAUGGUUCUGCUAUCACUCUUGGAUGGACCUGCGGUGCAUUAGCUAGUUGGUAGGGUAACGGCAUACCAAGGCGAUGAUGCAUAGCCGAGUUGAGAGACUGAUCGGCCACAUUGGGACUGAGACACGGCCCAAACUCCUACGGGAGGCAGCAGGU